GAUGAACGCUGGCGGCGUGCCUAAUACAUGCAAGUCGAGCGAACGGACGAGAAGCUUGCUUCUCUGAUGUUAGCGGCGGACGGGUGAGUAACACGUGGAUAACCUACCUAUAAGACUGGGAUAACUUCGGGAAACCGGAGCUAAUACCGGAUAAUAUUUUGAUCCGCAUGGUUCAAAAGUGAAAGACGGUCUUGCUGUCACUUAUAGAUGGAUCCGCGCUGCAUUAGCUAGUUGGUAAGGUAACGGCUUAUCAAGGCAACGAUGCAUAGCCGACCUGAUAGGGUGAUCGGCCCCACUGGAACUGAGACACGGUCCAGACUCCUACGGGAGGCAGCAGUAGGGAAUCUUCCGCAAUGGGCGAAAGCCUGACGGAGCAACGCCGCGUGAGUGAUGAAGGUCUUCGGAUCGUAAAACUCUGUUAUUAGUGAAGAACAUAUGUGUAAGUAACUGUGCACAUCUUGACGGUACCUAAUCAGAAAGCCACGGCUAACUACGUG
rnacentral:rRNA from 1 species